rnacentral:misc_RNA from 1 species
GAUGAAGAACGUAGCGAAAUGCGAUAAAUAAUAUGAAUUGCAGAAUUCAGCGAAUCAUCGAAUCUUUGAACGCACAUUGCGCCCCCUGGUAUUCCGGGGGGCAUGCCUGUUCGAGCGUCAUUUCACCACUCAAGCCUCGCUUGGUAUUGGGCAACGCGGUCCGCCGCGUGCCUCAAAUCGACCGGCUGGGUCUUCUGUCCCCUAAGCGUUGUGGAAACUAUUCGCUAAAGGGUGUUCGGGAGGCUACGCCGUAAAACAACCCCAUUUCUAAGGUUGACCUCGGAUCAGGUAGGGAUACCCGCUGAACUUAAGCAUAUCAAUAAGCGGAGGA